rnacentral:rRNA from 1 species
UACAGAGGUCCCAAGCGUUGUUCGGAUUCACUGGGCGUAAAGGGUGCGUAGGCGGUCGGGUAAGUCUGGCGUGAAAUCUCCAAGCCUAACUUGGAAACUGCGUUGGAUACUAUCCGGCUCGAGGAAUGGAGGGGAGACUGGAAUACUUGGUGUAGCAGUGAAAUGCGUAGAUAUCAAGCGGAACACCAGUGGCGAAGGCGAGUCUCUGGACAUUUCCUGACGCUGAGGCACGAAAGCCAGGGGAGCAAACGGG